rnacentral:rRNA from 1 species
CCUACGGGAGGCAGCAGUGAGGAAUAUUGGUCAAUGGCCGGAAGGCUGAACCAGCCAUGCCGCGUGAAGGUCAGUGCCCUAUGGGCGUUAAACUUCUUUUGUGCGGGAGCAAUAAUGGUCACGUGUGGCCAGACGAGAGUACCGUACGAAUAAGCAUCGGCUAACUCCGUGCCAGCAGCCGCGGUAAUACGGGGGAUGCAAGCGUUAUCCGGAUGUAUUGGGUUUAAAGGGUGCGUAGGCUGUGAGGUAAGUCAGCGGUGAAAUGCCCCCGCUCAACGGGGUGAAGUGCCAUUGAUACUGCCUGGCUGGAAUGCGGAUGCCGUGGGAGGAAUGUGUGGUGUAGCGGUGAAAUGCAUAGAUAUCACACAGAACACCGAUUGCGAAGGCAUCUCACGAAUCCGCGAUUGACGCUGAUGCACGAAAGCGUGGGUAUCAAACAGGAUUAGAUACCCCAGUAGUC